AACGCACCUUGCGCUCCUUGGUAUUCCGAGGAGCAUGCCUGUUUGAGUGUCAUGAAAUCUUCAACCCACCUCUUUCUUAGUGAAUGAAGUGGUGUUUGGAUUCUGAGCGUUGCUGGCUUCGGUCUAGCUCGUUCGUAAUGCAUUAGCAUCCGCAAUCGAACUUCGGAUUGACUUGGCGUAAUAGACUAUUCGCUGAGGAUUCUGGCCUAGUGCUGGAGCCGGGUUGGAUUAAAGGAAGCUUCUAAUACCAAAGUCUACUUUUUGAUUAGAUCUCAAAUCAGGCAGGAUUACCCGCUGAACUUAA
rnacentral:misc_RNA from 1 species